GAUGAACGCUAGCGGCAGGCUUAACACAUGCAAGUCGAGGGGUAUUGGUUUUCGGACCAAGAGACCGGCGCACGGGUGCGUAACGCGUAUGCAAUCUACCUUUUGCAGAGGGAUAGCCCCAGAGAAAUUUGGAUUAAUACCUCAUAGUAUAGUACUUUGGCAUCAAGGAACUAUUAAAGUCACAACGGCAAAGAUGAGCAUGCGUCCCAUUAGCUAGUUGGUAAGGUAACGGCUUUACCAAGGCUACGAUGGUAGGGGUCCUGAGAGGGAGAUCCCCCACACUGGUACUGAGACACGGACCAGACUCCUACGGAGGCAGCAGUGAGGAAUAUUGGACAAUGGGCGCAAAGCCUGAUCCAGCCAUGCCGCGUGCAGGAUGACGGUCCUAUGGAUUGUAACUAGCUUUUAUACAGGAAGAAAC
rnacentral:rRNA from 1 species